rnacentral:rRNA from 1 species
ACCCCAUGGAGCUUUAAACCCAACAGCACCCGUUUAUUUUCAUCCUCACAUAAGUUAGGUUAUGCCUGUUUGGUUUUAGGUUGGGGUGACCACGGAGUAUAAAACAACCUCCAUGAAAAAAGGACCAAAAAUCCUUAUUAGAGAAAGACAUUUCUAAAAUUAAUAAAUUAAUUUUUAAUGAUCCGAUAUUCGAUCAACGAACCAAGUUACCCUGGGGAUAACAGCGCAAUCCACUUCAAGAGCUCCUAUCGACAAGUGGGUUUACGACCUCGAUGUUGGAUCAGGGUAUCCUAGUGGUGCAGCAGCUACUAACGGUUCGUUUGUUCAACGAUUAAAACCCU